rfam:Nematostella vectensis strain CH2 x CH6 NEMVEscaffold_224_Cont19623, whole genome shotgun sequence.
ACCGAAAUAGCUCAGUUGGGAGAGCGUCAGACUGAAGAUCUGAAGGUCCCUAGUUCAAUCCGGAGAGUUUGUA